rnacentral:sRNA from 1 species
UUUGUUGACGGUCGACGGGCAAGGAACCCGAACCGGGCCGGCACAUACACCAUAUGGCCGGCCUUGUCA